rnacentral:rRNA from 1 species
CAGUAGCCGCGGUAAUACAGAGGGUGCAAGCGUUAAUCGGAAUUACUGGGCGUAAAGCGCGCGUAGGUGGUUAGUUAAGUUGGAUGUGAAAUCCCCGGGCUCAACCUGGGAACUGCAUUCAAAACUGACUGACUAGAGUAUGGUAGAGGGUGGUGGAAUUUCCUGUGUAGCGGUGAAAUGCGUAGAUAUAGGAAGGAACACCAGUGGCGAAGGCGACCACCUGGACUGAUACUGACACUGAGGUGCGAAAGCGUGGGGAGCAAACAGGAUUAGAUACCCCUGUAGUCCCUGUCUCUUAUAC